UAGGGAACCUUGUAUAUGUUUAAAACACAUAAGAAACAGAGAUUUUUCUCUAAAUUUGCUGUUCUCAAUAAGGUAUCAGAGCACAUUCAAAUUUUUGGCGUGAAAUUUCUUGAACAGUACCUAGAUCUAGGGUUUUAUUAACGUCAUUACUUGGAGCGCCUCCUAUGAUGGGUGUUGGAGGUCACCACCUACCUCAAAUGGCAACCCACUCAUCGAUCGACACUUUCUUGGAGGAAGCGACGUCGUCUGGCCAUGCACGAGUACACGUGCCUUGUUUGUCCCUGGCGUCUCUCACAUGAGCCGACACGUGGGGCAUUUUCCGACGACCUUUUCCAGCUGAAUCCUCUUCCGACAGCCUCCCCCAUAUCUUGCAACCUUGUUCAACCUGUUACUCUUUGCUGGUUUGCUUUUGUUCAUUGGUUCAACCUUUUGUUUGAUACUGCUCCUGUGUGGAUUCUAUUGUUAGAACAAUUUUACCACUGUGUUUUUUUCU
rnacentral:misc_RNA from 1 species